UUUAUGAAAAUAUGUUUUAUAAAUAAAUGUUAAGUUUUUAUUUAGUUUUAUGCUUAAUUUUGCAUUUAGCUCAUCUUUUUCUAAGCAUUUGUGGUUUAAAAAUGUGCUAAUUUCAAAUAUGUACUUUGUUUUAUAUUUUUUGUUCCUGCACCCCCAUUUUGUUUCCCAGGGUCUGUGAAGCAUGUAAAUCAAAACAACAACUGCUCCAUCAUGUGAAUGUAUGACAAGAGACAUCAGACCGAUGAGCCCUUCUGUUUCUGAGAUCCAAAACUCAAAUGUUCCUUAUUUCUCAUUGCUGCAUUGCACUUCCAGAUUACCUGGAAUUGGCAAUCAAUGGACGUGUGCUGUCCCUGUGAUUAUCCCUCACUAAAGUACCAGCCAACAUCCUAAAUUCACUUCCUGUCCUCAGAGGACAGCUGACAUCACUUCCUCUUCCAGUCCUCAAGAUCCCACCUCCUUCUGAUGUCAUUCCCAGUUCCCAGAAUGCCAUUCUCCAAUUACAUCACUUCCUGUCUACCAAAUAGAGGUCUGUUUAUUAAAUAACGAGACUGUGUUUCUAUGUCUUAAACAAAGCAGCGAGAACUGAUUAUGAGCACUUGCCAUGCAGGUUUAAACCUGUCCAAACCUGCACGACAAACAGCAACACUCUGUGCCAUUUAGUUGAUUUUCAGUCUCCGUUUAAAUCAGUUGUGUUUCCCUUGUGUGCCAGAAUCAUGUUAAGUUUAAAAGCUGAGCAAAGUGUCAAUUUGAAUUUUUUAGUAAAAUUACAUAAAACACCAUCUGAAUCUUUUUAAAUGCUUACUGAGGCUUAUGGGGAAGACUGCAUGUCUUGUGCAUGUGUGUUUUUCCUAAAUUGAAAUCUGUGCUUAAAGAAACACGUUUUGAGUCAAUGGAUGCAGUAAAGAAGUAAAGAAGAAAUCAUCAGAUGCUUGAAACAGCUGACAGAAACUGAUCUGCUCCACGCUUUCGACCAGCAGAAACCAAGACUUCAUUGGUGCGUAAUUGUGAAAGGGGAGUAUAUUGAAGGGGACAAGCAUUAGAAUUGUCACAUAAAUAAAAGUGAGUUAUUGUGUCAGUCUCGUUAUUUAAUAGGCAGACCUUGGUAUAUACAUAUGGCAGCCAUUUUGCUUUUCCUUCAGUUCUGUUGUGAGCUCAUGUCUGUAAAGACCAAUCUAACCAACCUUAUUUUUCAAGUGUGUGGGGAGGAUCUUCAUUCUGUUCUUUUACAACGCUUAACAAUUUGGCUCUAACUAACUUUUUGAUUUUUAGUUACCUGCUUACGAUUCUUGUUUCACGCCCUGAACUAUUUUGCCUGAUCAUUCAUUUUUCCGGUUUCAACUCCUUGCUUACUAUUUUGACAUCUCCUGAUUCCACCCCUUCUUAUAAAGCUCCUGCCACCUUGUGCAGUUAACACUGCAGGAUGGAAGACUUAAAAAGCAUUUUGGGUGACUGUUAGCCGUUAUUACAGGCCAUUAGCUACACAUUUUCAUUUGGAAAUGGCACUCCUUGUGCUCAUAUUUUUACGAGAGUGUUCUGGGCAGACAUUUGCACAAGUAAUCGAACAUUCCCCUCGAUAUUCUGAAUUGAUAAACCUCUGUUUUGCAUUCUAAUCCUCCCACCAAUACUAGCAUCUCUCUCAAUUUCA